GUCUCUCCGUGUCUUUAGCCUCAAGUGUUGUGUAGACAUCUAAUCGCGUGGUCUUCGUCCAGUCUGACUGAUUGAAGGUGAAGUUUCCUCAAGCUUCAUCGCUCAAGGUCAUCAGGAGGCUGUGGUGCAAUGUACGAAAUACACAUCGAGUCCGAUGAAUUUAGAGGAAAGAGAACAGUACAGCAGCACCAGUUAGUCAAUCAGGCUCUUAAAGAUGAGAUUAAAGCCAUGCACGGUCUACGCAUUUUCACUGAUGUUCCUAGAAAAUAGGAACUGCUCCGCGUCAUUCUCACAUCAUGUCAUUCUGCCGUCUCACUACGAUAUUAUAUCACAAUCACACACCUCCACCUCUCAGUCUGUCUCUCUCUUUAAAGUGGAUUAUAACAGUGGCAGAUGCAUACUUUACAGAUGUUAUGAAUAAAAGAUGUACGGUUAGAUAUGGUUCACAAAUGCUGUAAUACGCACAAAAUAAAAGACUGUCAUGUUGUUUUUGCUGUAAAUGAGCGUGUGAAAGAAAAAUGUAAAUGAGAGUGCAAGGCAUGUGGAUGGUUUGAAUCUUCAGUCAUCGUUCAGUAGUUUAUUGAUCCCAUUGUUUGUGUACAAUUACACUUGAAGUGGCUUUGUCAGUUAUCUGAUUUAUUUCUGUUCUGCUGUUGAUCCAUUAAAUUAUA